rnacentral:rRNA from 1 species
UACAAUAUUUAAAUUUUCUAAAAUGUAAAAAGACAUUUAUACAAAAGAAAGACGAUAAGACCCUAUUGAACUUAACUGUAGUUAAACUGGGGCAGUAAAUUAAUUAUUAUUUUAAUGUAAAUUAAUAUCUAAAUAUCUAAUAAAAUUAAAUAAUUCAGUUACCAUAGGGAUAACAGCAUAAUAACUUUUUAAAGAUCUUAUUAAAAAAGUAGAUUAUGACCUCGAUGUUGAAUUAAUAACCUAAUUAAAGCAAAAAUUAAAACAGGAAGUCUGUUCGACUUUUAAAAAAUUACAUGAUUUGAGUUCAGACCGGUGCAAGCCAGGUCGGUUUCUAUCUUCUAAAUAAUUUUUUACAGUACGAAAGGACCUAAAAAUAUAAUU